AUGACUUGCUCAUUGAUACAUGUCAAUAUGAGGUGCAUGGCAAAGUAUUUAAUUUAUUUGUCUCGCUUCUAGGAGCUGUAGAAACAACAGGGUGUUCUUUUUCAGGGUAUUCUUUUUUAUAGAACUGGACAGGUCAUUUAUUCGUUAUCCUUGUUUUUGAAGUGUCCUGCAGGAUGCUGUGUCCUGCAAUCCUGUGUACUGUGCUACAGACGCAUGUGGAGGUCAACCCAAAAUGGGCACAGUCUCACCGCAGAAGAGUGAAAGAGGAUCCUGGCAGGGAGACGGUAGUGUCCUGCAGAAUGGUGAUGGGCCAAUCUUACAAGAGACCACAGAAAACUGAUAUAGUGAACUAUAGAAACAACAGUGCCUGCUGCAGUAUAAUGAGGACACCCUGAGCAGAGAGCUCCAAUAGACCCAGGUCCAGUGUCUUGGCAGGGUGAAAUGGCACUGAUAUGGUGUCCUGCAGGAUGCUGUGUCCUGCAAUCCUGUGUGCUGUGCUACAGACGCGUGUGGAGGUCAACCCAAAAUGGGCACAGUCUCACCACAGAAGAGUGAAAGAGGCUUUAAAACUUAAGGCCACCGCUAUGGAGGGAGCGGCUGCAACCGCCACCAGCGCAGCAGCUGCCCAACAAGCUCGACCCUCCGAUUCCUCCACCUCCAGCUCCUCCACCUCCUCUUCAAGUGACUCGGAGCCAGAGAGGAAGAGAAAGAAGAGGAACAAGAGAGACAGGAAAAAGAGAGAGAAGAAGAGGAAGAAGGACAAGCACAGACAGACAGAAGGAGAGAACUUGCGAACACUUGCACCCUAUUGCGGAGCUCGCCUUCAGGUGGGCACAUGCAGAAAAUUGAACAGCUUAAUGAUUAACAACGAUUUUUAGAACCUGAACAAGGACUGCCUGCUUACCUUUUUUUUUUUCAUCUUUUUGAAAUAUCUAGCAGGUCCCCCUUUCUUUUCAGUUGCUGUAUCUCCUGCAUGUGCCCACCUGAUUCACACUGUGUGGCACAGUCCUUGGUGAAGUUAAAUAAACUAUCACCAGGAAGAUAUGUCUCCCUAAUUUCCAUGUAAUCAUCAGGGCUGACCGUUGCAAGCUCCGCAAUAGGGGCUUGGUUGCAGAUGGUAUUUCUGUCGAUCGGAAUUUUUUUCGUACGCCGCCGUCUUGCUUAAACCCUUUCUCACCAGCCUGACCACCUCCAUAUAGCGGGGGGCUAGCGGGAGCUGUCUGUAAAAUAUCUGUAUUUUGUUUGUAUAUUUUACAGUAUCACCGCGGAAGGGCCUCUGCUACAUGGCGAAGAAAAAAAUAGGUCUUUGGCAUUUUAGGGAUAAGAAACGAGCGGAGGUGUCCCAUCCUGUGGCUGGUGAGGAGAAGAGGACGGGAGAAUCUUAUCCCAAUUGUGGUCAAGCAUGUGCGUCCAGGAGCCACCCUGAUCAGUGAUGAGUGGCGAGCAUACAGAGGCGCAUUAGCUGCCAUUGGCUACACUCACUUCACUGUUAACCAUUCAAGAUGGUUUGUUGAUCCAAACAGUGGGGCCCAUACACAGCACCUUGAGAGGGGUUACUGCCACACUUAUUGUGUGUGUGUGUGUGUGUGUGUGUGUGUGUGUGUGUGUGUGUUACAAUAUGUGAAGGCCUAUGACUUGCUUUCAUAAUAAUAAAAAGUUAUUGCUCUCUGUCUGGUGCUUUGAUUGUAUUUAAAAGUUCAGAAAAUACACUACAUCAAAAUAGGCCUAUGUAAUGAGUUAUGUGUUAUAAUGCUGUGACUUCACUUGGCGGGGGAGUUAAUGAUUGGGAAGGUUGUUAAUGAUUGAUUAGUUGACUGUAUAGAAAUGGUUGAUUACACACUUGUUUUCAGUAUAGUAAUCAUGUGUUAAGUUAACACAUGAUUACUAUACUGAAAACAAGUGUGUUAACCUAUCAUAAUGUCAUGGCUUUACUUAAGGUGGCCAAGAAAACGUGAAUGAAUAUUGUAGUAAUCAUGAGCACACAUGAUCAUGUAAUGACUUUACUUGGGGUGGCAAAGACAACAUGAAUUCAUAGUAUACUACGAUGUCAAUGAUAUGUAAUAUAUUAGGCUAAACAUUAGGCUGGUCAUUGGCUGAUAUAACCAGAAGGUAUCAGAUGCAUGUGUGGGCACAAUCACGUCACUGGGUAGUCUAAGUAUGAUUAUCAGUUUUGAGAAGUGGUGACUUGGCGUUUGGCCUACCACAAGGGCCUAUUAAUAUAAUAGCC